rnacentral:rRNA from 1 species
AUGGCGAGCCCGUCGAGCAGCCUGUGGGGCGCCCUGGGGCAAGCCUCCACCAUGGCGCAGCUGGUGGGCGUGGACGUGCUCGGGCUGGUCUCCAUGGUCUUGCAGGCCGCCCUGGUGGCGCGCCGCCACCGGGAUGCCUGCUUGCGGCUCGCGCAGCACGUGGAGCUCGUCGGCGGCCUGCUAAGGGAGCUGGAGCUCGCCGAGCUGAUGCGGCGGGAGGCCACCAUGCGACCGCUGGAGCAGCUCGGCGGCGCGCUACGGCGGUGCUACGCGCUGGUCACGGCGUGCCAGGACUGCGGCUACCUCCGCCGCCUGCUCCUGGGUGCCCGGAUGGCCGACGAGCUCCGCGUGGCACAGCAAGAGAUCGACAUGUUCAUCCGCCUCAUCCCGCUCAUCGCCCUCGUCGACAAUUCUACUGCAGAUAGUCGCCGUGUCAAGCAGGCUGAUGAGGGGGUGCUCUCUGUAGUCACAGAUAGUUCAAAUCGUCACAUCAGGUUUCGAACAAAAUCUUUGGAGUUGACCAAAAUCCGCAUUCAAGGAGCUACUGAACUCUGCAAUGCUGGAGAACAACCAUUUGUAGGAAAAGUGGACCUGCGAGAACAGAAUAUCGUUGACAUUGAAGAACUUGUGGAACUUUGUACCCGUAUGGAAGAGGCUUGCUCGGGAUUCACAAGGUUCGGUUUCUGUCAGAUCUUGGAUGCUACAGACAAUUUCUCAGAGAAGAUGAUAGUUGGGUGGGGAGGAUUUGGGAAGGUGUACAAGGGCCAGUUGCCUGGUGGACUUAAUGUUGCCAUCAAAAGAGCUGAUGAGCACGCAGCAAUGCUUGAAGUCAACAGUGAAUUGCAGCUUGCAAAGCUUCAGCAUGCCAAUGUGAUUAGGUUAUUGGGGUGGUGCAUCCAUGGGAAAGAAAGGAUUCUAGUGUAUGAGUUCAUGCAAAAUGGUUCCUUGGAUCGUUACCUAUGCGACAGAACAAAAGGGCCAAUGCUAAACUGGUCUAAGCGAUUCAAGAUAAUUACAGGGUUAACAGAGGGAAUUGUUUACCUGCAUAAGCACUCCAUGUUCUGGCUUGUCCACAGAGACUUGAAACCACAUAAUGUCCUCUUGGAUUGUAACAUGCUCCCAAAGAUUGCUGAUUUUGGAUCAGCUAGAGCUCUGAGUUCAGAACUAGCAGAAGAGCGCACGAGUAGGGUCGUGGGAACCAGUGGUUACAAGGCUCCGGAGUAUGCAUCUCGAGGAGUUUACUCGAUGAAGACAGAUGUGUUCAGCUUUGGCGUUUUGGUUCUGGUGAUUAUUAGUGGCCGAAAGAAUACCAUACUCGACAAGCGAGGGGUUGGUGAUCUUGUACGAGAUGCCUGGCGUAUGUGGAAGGACCAAAAGUUGCAUGAGCUUGUGGAUCCAUUGUUAGGGGAUGGAUAUGAAGUCUCUGAGAUAACGAAAUGUGCUCAGGUGGCACUACUUUGUGCUCAGGAAGAUCCAACAGAUCGGCCCACCAUGACAGAUGUUGCUGCAAUGCUGAACUCUGAAAGUAUAAGCUUACCAAUGGAGCCUAAGCAGCCCGCUGCGCUGAUCCAUGGGUGUGCCGAGAGAGACACGACAUCAACAUAUGUGAGCCAAUCAAGCAGGACAAUAGACAUAACGAUAACGAGUUCAGCUCCAAUGUCGACCAGAGUUCGAAUCAUUCUAGACCCGGAGGUUUGA